GAUCAUGGCUCAGGACAAACGCUGGCGGCGUGCCUAAUACAUGCAAGUAGAACGCUGAAGAGAGGAGCUUGCUCUUCUUGGAUGAGUUGCGAACGGGUGAGUAACGCGUAGGUAACCUGCCUUGUAGCGGGGGAUAACUAUUGGAAACGAUAGCUAAUACCGUAUAACAAUGAAUGACUCAUGUCAUUUAUUUGAAAGGGGCAAUUGCUCCACUACAAGAUGGACCUGCGUUG
rnacentral:rRNA from 1 species